rnacentral:lncRNA from 1 species
UUCGAGUGAAGAAAAUACACUCAGAUAUCACGAUGAAAAACUCAGAAAGGCAUCCGAUUUAGAUCGGAAUCGUCAUCGACCACAAAGUCUCAGAAACACCCCCAAAAAUCUCAAAGGAGACUUCAACCAAGAUAGCGAGAUGCAGAAAAAUUUAGUCGGAUCGUCGUCUAGGCUCUGAUACCAUGAAAACUUUGAAAUUAAUCUGAAGAAUCAUGGAGAAUGUAGUGAGAGAAUUUAGAGAGAAGGAGGAGCGUCUGAUAGAACUCUCUAGAAGAGAGAGAGUUUAUUAAUCAGAAAAUGAAACAAA